GCCUGAAUGGCCAAGGGGUAAGGCGUCGCACUUGUAAUGCGAAGAUCCGUGGUUCAAAUCCGCGUUUGGGCA
rfam:Pyronema omphalodes CBS 100304, CBS100304, WGS project CATG01000000 data, contig: Pcon_v1_contig284